GCAAGUCGAACGCGAACGCACCUUCGGGUGCAAGUAGAGUGGCACAAGGGUGAGUAAUGCGUGGAUAACCUGCCCCUGAGUCUGGAAUAACGGCGGGAAACUGCCGCUAAUGCCGGAUGGCCCUGAGAGAUGGCAUCUUCUCUUAGGUAAACGUGGGGAUCUCUUCGGAGACCUGCGGUUCAGGGAGGGGUCCACGACCUAUCAGCUUGUUGGUGAGGUAACGGCUCACCAAGGCUACGACGGGUAGGCGGGCUGAGAGGCUGACC
rnacentral:rRNA from 1 species